rnacentral:rRNA from 1 species
CAGUCGCCGCGGUAAUACGUAGGUCCCGAGCGUUGUCCGGAUUUAUUGGGCGUAAAGCGAGCGCAGGCGGUUAGGUAAGUCUGAAGUUAAAGGCUGUGGCUUAACCAUAGUACGCUUUGGAAACUGUUUAACUUGAGUGCAGAAGGGGAGAGUGGAAUUCCAUGUGUAGCGGUGAAAUGCGUAGAUAUAUGGAGGAACACCGGUGGCGAAAGCGGCUCUCUGGUCUGUAUCUGACGCUGAGGCUCGAAAGCGUGGGGAGCGAACAGGAUUAGAUACCCCCGUAGUCCCUGUCUCUUAUACC